UACGAAGGGGGCUAGCGUUGUUCGGAAUUACUGGGCGUAAAGCGCACGUAGGCGGAAUGUUAAGUCAGAUGUGAAAGCCCCGGGCUCAACCUGGGAAUUGCAUUUGAGACUGCGUAGCUAGGGUGCGGAAGAGGGAAGCGGAAUUUCCGGUGUAGCGGUGAAAUGCGUAGAUAUCGGAAGGAACACCAGUGGCGAAAGCGGCUUCCUGGUCCAGCACCGACGUUCAGGCACGAAAGCGUGGGGAGCAAACAGG
rnacentral:rRNA from 1 species